rnacentral:rRNA from 1 species
UACAGAGGGUGCAAGCGUUGUUCGGAAUCAUUGGGCGUAAAGCGCGAGUAGGCGGCUUUGCAAGUCUGGUGUGAAAUCCCGGGGCCUAACCCCGGAAGUGCACUGGAUACUGCUUAGCUAGAGGGUGAGAGAGGAGAGUGGAAUUCCUGGUGUAGGGGUGAAAUCCGUAGAUAUCAGGAGGAACAUCUGUGGCGAAGGCGGCUCUCUGGCUCACUUCUGACGCUAAACCGCGAAAGCGUGGGGAGCAAACAGG